AAUAAUUAAUUGAAUGUAAAAAAAGCAUGGGAUCUGAGACCGAGACAACACGCAAAUAGCAGAGACAGAUAGAAACAGAUAGAUUGAGAGGUGAACACCGACCGACCCGCCGACGUUCGGUGCUCCGCUCUUCACGGUUGUGGCCCCCACUCCCUCCGUAUUUUACGCUCUAAAGGACCUCAUGUCAAACAUAGAGGAUAACAAAGAACUUGGACAGAUGGACGUGGAUGCAUCUGAGGGGUCAGUUAAUAUGCCAUCGUCCCAGCAGCAGGAGGCAACUCUGAAGAAAAAAUAUGGAGGAAUUGUGCCAAAAAAACCACCACUUAUUUCUAAGGACCAUGAGCGUGCUUACUUUGAUUCCGCUGAUUGGGCAUUGGGAAAGCAAGGCGGUCAGAAGCCCAAGGGACCACUUGAGGCUCUUCGGCCUAAACUACAGCCAACACAGCAACAAACACGUUACCGGAAAUCUCCUUAUGCUCCUUCGGGUGAAGGUGGAAGUGUUCCAUCUGAGGAUGCACCUUCCAAUGAGUAAAAGCAACAAUAAGUCUUUCGACGAUGUGCUGAUUAUUGUUCUGGUAUACCUCAGUAGCCUGGCCUAGGUUCUGUAAAGGUUUGAGAUCAACGUUGUUUUGUGAAAAAUGGCGUACAGUGCGAUCCUUGUUUCUGUCCAUUAUGAUGUGUUUCUUCGCUGUUUAUGUUGCGUCUCAUUAUUGUUGUAUAUGUUGUGCUUUGUUUCUAUUGUUGAGGCUAUGCCAUUUGACACUAGAGACGAGUUCUUUCUUUUCGGCUUCCUAUUAUGCUAGCAAAUCACUAACAGUCUAUCAACUUUCAAUCCUCCCUGUUACAAGCCUCUCUCCUGUUUAUCAUAUCACGCCUCAUUCACCACCUCUUAAUCUCGCCCCUAUGGUUGCAACCUCACGGUUGCA